rnacentral:siRNA from 1 species
UGUGUUUACUCUCUCCUUCUC